rnacentral:rRNA from 1 species
UGGGGAAUUUUGGACAAUGGGCGAAAGCCUGAUCCAGCAAUGCCGCGUGUGUGAAGAAGGCCUUCGGGUUGUAAAGCACUUUUGUCCGGAAAGAAAUCCUUGGCUCUAAUACAGUCGGGGGAUGACGGUACCGGAAGAAUAAGCACCGGCUAACUACGUGCCGGCAGCCGCGGUAAUACGUAGGGUGCAAGCGUUAAUCGGAAUUACUGGGCGUAAAGCGUGCGCAGGCGGUUUGCUAAGACCGAUGUGAAAUCCCCGGGCUCAACCUGGGGAACUGCAUUGGUGACUGGCAGGCUAGAGUAUGGCAGAGGGGGGUAGAAUUCCACGUGUAGCAGUGAAAUGCGUAGAGAUGUGGAGGAAUACCGAUGGCGAAGGCAGCCCCCUGGGCCAAUACUGACGCUCAUGCACGAAAGCGUGGGGAGCAAACAGGAUUAGAUACCCUGGUAGUCCACGCCCUAAACGAUGUCAACUAGUUGUUGGGGAUUCAUUUCCUUAGUAACGUAGCUAACGCGUGAAGUUGACCGCCUGGGGAGUACGGUCGCAAGAUUAAAACUUAAAUGAAUUGACGGGGUCAUAGCUGUUUCCU